rnacentral:rRNA from 1 species
UACGGAGGGGGCUAGCGUUGUUCGGAAUCACUGGGCGUAAAGCGCGCGUAGGCGGCUUGAUAAGUUAGAAGUGAAAUCCCUGGGCUUAACCUAGGAAUUGCUUUUAAAACUGUCGAGCUAGAGAAUGGUAGAGGAGAGUGGAAUUCCUAGUGUAGAGGUGAAAUUCGUAGAUAUUAGGAGGAACACCAGAGGCGAAGGCGGCUCUCUGGGCCAUUUCUGACGCUAAGGCGCGAAAGCGUGGGGAGCAAACAGG